GGCCCGUGGCGGACAGUUCGCGCGUCGCCUCACACGCGAGAGGUCACAAGUUCAAGUCUUGUACGGUCCA
rnacentral:tRNA from 1 species